UACGGAGGGUGCAAGCGUUAAUCGGAAUUACUGGGCGUAAAGCGCACGUAGGUGGUUUGUUAAGCUAGCCGUGAAAUCCCCGGGCUCAACCUGGGCACUGCGGUUAGAACUGGCAAGCUAGAGUAGGGUAGAGGGGUGUGGAAUUCCAGGUGUAGCGGUGAAAUGCGUAGAUAUCUGGAGGAACAUCAGUGGCGAAGGCGACACCCUGGACUCAUACUGACACUGAGGUGCGAAAGCGUGGGGAGCAAACAGGAUUAGAAACCCCCGUAGUCC
rnacentral:rRNA from 1 species